AUUCACAUAACUUUGUGCAAUUUGAGCCACUAACUCUCCCUUUACUUUUCAUUGCCUCACCAGCUAGAAGAGAAGAAAAUCUUAUAAAACCACCACAAACCCUAAUCAUAAUUACCAUCAGCCAGCUCCUAAUCACACCUCUCUAACUCUUCUCCCUAUAUCUAUUCAAAGAUAAUUGUUAAAAUGAAAAGAGAAACUCUAGCAUGGCUACUCUUCAUCAUUUGUUGUCAGGCCCUCUCUUAUUGUGCAUGUGAGGUAGCUUUCAUCCCUCACCACAAUUCACCCAUGACUAGGCCAAAACAACUUAUGGAAGUUCACAAAUCAAUGGCGGAACCGAAAAGUAAACCCUACCAAAAAAUACUAGAGAGAAGGGGAUUGCAUGAAGUUGAUGCAAAGAACUUCCAAAAGUUAGCAAAAGGAGUUUAUGGUGGGACAGAUAAUCUUCGUCCUAGAUCUAAAUCUAAAAGUGGAGCUACCUCUUUACUCUUGAAUUCCUCUGCCUUCUUUUCAGCAGUACUUGGAUUGAUCGUCUUCGUUGUCUUCUUCUGAUUGCCAAUUUGGAAGACAUGAUUGCUUUGGGAUAAAAUUAGGAAGCAACUUAAUUUAAAAAAAAAAAAAAAGAUGGUAAAGAUAUUGGUGUAUUGUCUUCUUUCUUUACGUUGUACUUCCUACUUGUUUAAUGGGUGUGAGAGAGAAAAAGCUUGUGUAUAGUUAAAUGUUUGAAAAAAUAGCAAUGUGCCCUUGAAAUUAGAGAGA